CAAGAAGCCGAAAGGCUGCUUAAAACCAUUGCGAAUCUAUCCAUCAGCGUUGCUUCGGCGGGAGGAGGCCGUGGGGACGACGUCUGCAAGGACGCCGGCCGCGGGGCCGCGGACCCCACGCCUCUCCGGAGGUUGCGGGGCCCGCCCGCCGGAGGUACAAAACUCUUCUGCAUCUUUAGUGGCAUCUCUGAGUAAAGCAAGCAAAUAAGUCA
rnacentral:misc_RNA from 1 species